GCUUAGCCCCAUACCCUGUAACCUCCUCUCAGUAAAGAGACAAGCCAGGGUGCUGGGGCCCUCGGAGGGGAUGCGCGCUGUAACGGGGCCUCAGGACCACGUGGACCACUGGGGGCCCGCACAGACCCUCUGCCUCUGUGUAGAAUGAGCCAAGGAGACUCGAACCCAGCAGCUAUUCCACCUGCAGCGGAAGAUAUUCAAGGAGAUGACAGGUGGAUGUCUUAGCAUAAUAGGUUUGUUUUGGACUGUAAAGACAAAGAGCCGGACGUGCUGUUUGUGGGUACAGUUGAUACAGCAGUAUGAGAUAUGUCAAGAGCUGUUUUCCCCACUUCAUGCACUUAAUUUUGGAAUUGGGGGAGACACAACACAUGUUUUGUGGAGACUAAAGAAUGGAGAACAUUAAGCCUAAGGUCAUUGUUGUCUGGGUAGGAACAAAUAACCAUGAAAACACAGCAGAAGAAGUAGCAGGAUUGAGGCUAUUGUACACCUUAUAAAUACAAAGCAGCCACAGGCCAAAAUCAUUGUGCUGGGUCUGUUACCUCGAGGUGAGAAUCCCAACCCUUUAAGACAAAAGAAUGCUAAGGUGAACCAGCUUCUCAAAAUUUCCCUGCCGAAUCUUGCCAAUGUGCAGCUCCUGGAUACAGAAGGGGCCCUCGUGCACUAGGACGGUGCCAUCUCCUGCCAUGCCGUGUUUGAUUUUCUUCAUCUCACAGGAGGCGACUAUGCAAAGAUCUGCAAACCCCUCCAUGAACUGAUCAUGCAGUUUCUGGAAAAAACAUCAGAGGAGAAGCAAACCACCAUUGCUCGACUGGCCCCAUCAGUGUUAGCAUCACCCCCGCUGCCUCAGAUCAGUUACACCACCAGCACUACAGAAUCCUUUCUUAAGGCUCUUUGUACAAUGUUCCUGGAUGCUUGUAUCUAAUGUUUGACGGGAGGAGGGAUUUAAAUUGGUCCUGUUUAUAAAGGGUUGUUUGGCCCAGGAGAAAAAUUAGCCAAGGAGAAUUCAUUUGAAACCAGAAGGGGACUUUAUAGUUGUAUAUGACACAUUCGUGGAAUUAUCACUGUUCUUCCUAGGACAACAUCAAGCAUGAGUACAAUAUGAAGAUUCUUGGCCCAUUUUUUUCUGUGGAUUAUGUCAUAUGUGAUAAUUAUCACAUCUACUUGGCUUUAAAAUUAUUUUUGGUCCAGUUUUAAGGUUCAUGAGUCAGUGUGUUGUGUUUUGUUUGAUUCAUGUAUCCUCAGUAUUUUUAUUAACGUAUAGCAUCAGAUUAAACAUGCUUGUCACUCAAAUGUGGAAGAUGCUAUAGUUAGUUCCUCUUAUUCUAGCAGUGAAAACAAGUUCUGGGGACUGGGGUAUUAUUUGUAUGCUGCCGAAUAUCUUGUCUGUAAUAGACCCAUGCACGCAGCCUUUGCUCUGCUUCCCCUUCAUCUCUUUGCUUAUUUACAUUGGAAGGGUUGAACCCAUUUUUGAUCUAGGAGUUGCAUUGCUUUCAGGAUGACCUUACUGAUGUAUAGCUCAUUCUGUGUGGUGUUCUGUGAUGUAGGGUCUGUGUAGUGUUACUCACCCCCACCCCUGUGACCUGUUAAUGGUUUUCUUUGUUUUGAGCAUUUGGGGUGGGGGUCAAAAUUGUUUCCCAUUCCAUAAUGCCUGAUGUUAUUUCAAGUUUUAUAUUAUCUUAAGGUGUAUAUGUUUGUUUUCAUUAUACAUAAUACACACAUACACACACACACACACACACACACACACACACACACACACACACACAAUUACAGUACUGGAAUCAAACCCAGGGCCUAGCACAUACUAAGCAAGUGCUCUGCCACUAAAGUAAUCCC
rnacentral:lncRNA from 1 species